AUUGAACGCUGGCGGCAUGCUUUACACAUGCAAGUCGAACGGUAACAGGCCGCAAGGUGCUGACGAGUGGCGGACGGGUGAGUAAUGCAUCGGAACGUGCCCAGCCCUGGGGGAUAACUACUCUUAAGAGUAGUUAAUACCGCAUACGAUCUAUGGUUGUACGCGGGGGACCGUAAGGCCUCGCGCGAUUGGAUCGGCCGAUGUCCGAUUAGGUUGUUGUUGGGGUAAAGGUAUACCAAGACAACGAUCUGUACGUGGUCUGAGAGGAGGACCGGCCACACUGGGACUGAGACACGGCCCAGACGCCUAAGAGAGGCAGCAGUGGGGAAUGUUGGGCAAUGGGCGGAAGCCUGGUCCAGCAAGGCCGCGUGCAGGGAGAAGGCCUUCGGGUUGUAAACUGCUUUUGUACGGAGCGAAACGGCUCUGGUUAAUACCCGGGGCUAAUGACGGUACCGUAAGAAUAAGCACCGGCUAACUACGUG
rnacentral:rRNA from 1 species